AUGUCUGAAGAGAGAAGCAGGGUCUGAUCCAUAGCUUGUGUGACAGCUGUUGAUCAGCACUUGCCUCUCUCUUUCUCUCAG
rfam:Myotis brandtii contig175275, whole genome shotgun sequence.